rnacentral:tRNA from 2 species
GGAGAGGUGCCGGAGUGGUUGAACGGGGCGGUCUCGAAAACCGUUGUGGGUCUUACGGCCCACCGUGGGUUCGAAUCCCACCCUCUCCGCCA